CUCAUCCAACCUGGCCUUGAACACCUCCAGGGAUGGGGCAUCCACAACCUCUCUGGGCAGCCUGUUCCAGCACCUCACCACUCUCCUGUAAAGAACUUCCCCCUAACAUCCAACCUAAAUCUUCCCUCUUUCAACUUAAAACCAUUCCCCCUUGUCCUGCUGUUAUCUACCCUUUCAAAGAGUUUACUCCCUUCCUGUUUAUAGGCUCCCUUCAGGUACUGAAAGGCUGCAAUGAGGUCACCCCACAGCCUUCUCUUCUCCAGGUUGAAUAAGCCCAGCUCCCUCAGCCUGUCCUCGUAGGUGAGGUGCUCCAGCCCCCUGAUCAUCUUUGUGGCCCUUCUCUGGACCCUCUCCAACAGCUCUCUGUCUUUCUUGUACUGGGGGCUGCAUACCUGGACACAGUACUCCAGAUGGGGCCUCACAAGAGCAGAGUAGAGAGGGACAAUCACCUCCCUGUCCCUGCUGGCCACCCCUCUCAUGAUGGAGCCCAGGAUACCAUUUGCUUUCCAAGCUGCAAGAGCACACUGCUGGUUCACGUUAAGUUUGUCAUCCAUCAGGACCCCCAGGUCCGUCUCUGCAGAGCUGCUCACAAGGACUGCUCCUUCCAGUCUGUAUAGAUGCCUGGGGUUCCUCCGGCCCAAGUGCAAAACCCUGCACUUUGCCGUGUUGAACCUCAUUAGGAUGAGAUGGGAGUCUCAGCUUAAUGCCAGCCUACUGGUCCUAUAGUGUUGAUCAAUGGUCAACACAUCUACAGCAUCUGUUUUGUGGGAAAAAUAUUAUCCCCACAAAUUGGUUAGUGCCAGUCAUAUCCCAGCCCCACCACACUGGGUUUUGGAGCUCUUGAAAUGAGGUAUGAUGUAUUUCAUUAGGCACUCAGCAUAAUAGUAAAUAUAACCCAACCAGUAACUAACAGUUAUCUCUGGGCAAUACUACAUAAAUUUCUCAGCUCUCUGGUGAUUUUUCACUGCUGAAAAAGAAGUGAUUUUUAAGAGAACAAAACAAAUGAUGUACUUCACACUGACACAAUGUUAACUCAGCAUUUCUGCUAUUAGAUUCCUGGCAUAUGCUCAGUCAUUUGGCCAGGAAAAAAUAUCUUUGGGGCAAGAUGAAGGUCUGUGGCUAUUUGACUCCUGAAAAUCUUGGCAAAGAGUUGUAUUUCUCUUCUUCAAAUACAACAUAGUUUAGCGUUUUUUGUAGUAGUUGUUGUUUUUUAAUCUAUUGUAUAUCAUAAUAUUUAUUGAUUAGGAAAAUACACAUGAAGACAUUGCAGUAUUUUGAUAAUUGUAUUGUGACAAUAAAAAUGUUGGUGAACACAGAC
ensembl:lncRNA